AAAAAAAAAAAAAAAGAAAGAAAAAAGAAAAAAAGGUUUAGUUGUGCUCCUUUUGUAUUUCUUUAACUGCAAUACUGGGAAAGUGUUUUUAUUGAACCAUGUGAUACAGUGGUUCGAAUUGUUUUUAUUUCAAGCACAGAAUCUGUAUUAAAAAUAACACAGUUUCCUGUCCUUCUUUCUGUAUUUUCUCCUAGCACAAGGGAAAAAUCACAUUCCCUAAUAUAUUUUCUGGGCACACUCUGUUUGUAAUAUUUCCUUUGCAAACGUCCUGUUCAUAUUUGUAUCUUAUUACUUUUCUUAUACUGGAUUUAUUGAUAGUUUCUAACAAAAAUAUGAUUUCAGUAUAUUUACUGAACAAAAUUCAAUAUAACAGACCCCAAUUCAAUUUUUUUCAUCAAAAUGGAGAACAAUAAAGAGGCUAAAGUCCUCAGUUUAGACACACAGCAUCAAAAAAACUUAUAUUGUUUAAAGAAAUAACUCAAUAAGGGGGAAGUGAUAGAUAUUACUUAAAGAACAACAUUAGCUUUGUUUAUUUAUCUAUGUUUCUAAUAUUCCUGCCUCUAACUUAGUCAGCGACAAACAUUUUUGGUGUUCCUUGGUUAUUGAAUCUCACAUAAAUGCAGUCAUUUUCUAAAAAUAGAAAAAUAUUGUUAUUAUGCAUUGCAAGAUACCCAUGGUUCAUAUUUACUGUUAAUUGUCAUUUCAUGUAUUCAAAUUUAAUUUAAGGGAAUUUUUAAAAAACUUAGUCUGUUUCCCAGAUUAUUUUGCUAUUGUGCCAGUAUUUUUUAUAAAUUAAUCACGUUUAUGCUUUUGCUUGUUUACAAAGAGUGUGUAUUCUGAAUUUCUAAUGUCCUGCUCUUGAAGACUGAUUACAGAGGGCUUUCUUCAUUGACCAUUAGGUAAAGGG
rnacentral:lncRNA from 10 species